UGGGGAAUAUUGGACAAUGGGCGCAAGCCUGAUCCAGCCAUGCCGCGUGUGUGAAGAAGGCCUUUUGGUUGUAAAGCACUUUAAGCGAGGAGGAGGCUACUUGGAUUAAUACUCUAAGAUAGUGGACGUUACUCGCAGAAUAAGCACCGGCUAACUCUGUGCCAGCAGCCGCGGUAAUACAGAGGGUGCGAGCGUUAAUCGGAUUUACUGGGCGUAAAGCGUGCGUAGGCGGCUUCUUAAGUCGGAUGUGAAAUCCCUGAGCUUAACUUAGGAAUUGCAUUCGAUACUGGGAAGCUAGAGUAUGGGAGAGGAUGGUAGAAUUCCAGGUGUAGCGGUGAAAUGCGUAGAGAUCUGGAAGAAUACCGAUGGCGAAGGCAGCCAUCUAGCCUAAUACUAACGCUGAGGUACGAAAGCAUGGGGAGCAAACAGG
rnacentral:rRNA from 1 species